rnacentral:rRNA from 1 species
UACGUAGGGUGCAAGCGUUGUCCGGAAUUAUUGGGCGUAAAGAGCUCGUAGGCGGUCUGUUGCGUCGGCUGUGAAAACCCGGGGCUCAACCCCGGGCCUGCAGCCGAAACGGGCAGACUAGAGUUCGGCAGGGGAGACUGGAAUUCCUGGUGUAGCGGUGAAAUGCGCAGAUAUCAGGAGGAACACCGGUGGCGAAGGCGGGUCUCUGGGCCGAUACUGACGCUGAGGAGCGAAAGCGUGGGGAGCGAACAGG